ACUACAUAUGGGAUGCGGUGGGCGAUUUCUGCAUCUUGCAUUCUAUUUUUUUUUUUUUUUUUGUAUUAUAAUCCGCAGUUUAUCUUCUGCAAGAGUCGAGAAAACCCGCAUAGGUAAAGCCGACCGGUUUAGAAAUCUUGUGGCGGCGUUCCCGUCUGAGCUCCGUUGUUCCUCCCGACUGUAAGAAUCGCUUCGGAGCCUGAUGUUCGUGACAGUCUAGCAGGGAGAGGGCAAGGCAGACAACAGGAGAGAUAAGGAGGUCAUCUUCUACAGCUGAUGUGGAGGCAGUGAAGUUGUUUUCCUGGAUAGGUACCACUGCCCUUGCCGUUGCCGAGCAACAAAGUGAGUUCAUGGGACUUCACAUCUUGGAGACUCCCACCUCCUACCCAGAAACCAUCCUUCCGAGACGUCUGGGGAAAGUCUAAGCGAAUGUCGUUAUGAAACUUGGAAGACCCCUGCCACUUUGAUGUGUGAAUGCACCCACCGAUAAUGGCUCAGAGGAGACACAGUGGACGUACAGCAGAAGCAGACGUGUUCAUGUGUCCCAUCCAUGCCACCCUACAGACACUCUCCUAUAAACACAUCUGAACUUCUCAAGGUAAUCCC